AUUGAACGCUGGCGGCAGGCCUAACACAUGCAAGUCGAGCGAGAGGCGGACGGGUGAGUAAUGUAUGGGGAUCUGCCCGAUUGAGGGGGAUAACUACUGGAAAAGGUGGCUAAUACCGCCUACUAUCGGAUGAACCCAUAUGGGAUUACCUAGUAGGUGGGGUAAAGGCUCACCUAGGCGACGAUCUCUAGCUGGUCUGCGAGGAUGAUCAGCCACACUGGGACUGAGACACGGCCCAGACUCCUACGGGAGGCAGCAGGGGGGAAUAUUGCACAAUGGGCGCAAGCCUGAUGCAGCCAUGCCGCGUGAAUGAAGAAGGCCUUAGGGUUGUAAAGUACUGUCAUCGGGGAGGCGUUACCCGCAGAAGAAGCACCGGCUAACUCCGUGCCAGCAGCCGCGGUAAUAC
rnacentral:rRNA from 1 species